UCUCAGAGGCUUUCAGAGCAUGUCUCUCUUUACAGCAUCACACAAUGGGAGGUGAGGCGGAUAGAGGCCCUUGGUGUCUCCAGUUUCGAGAGGUGCCCCUUCACAGUGGGUAGUGACUGCCUAGGUGUUCCCUUUCGCCGAGGAAGAAGGAUGAGAAAUGGGAUUAAAGCGAAGCAUUAGGGGAGGGUUAGGUCAAUUAUGAGGUCAUGCUCUCUUUGGGACAUUCUCCUGGGACAUGACACUCAUCCUCUUGGCAUCUUUGAUCAUUAAGUAGAUUCGAAGCCCAUGGAAUAUGGGUAACCAACUAACUUGAUUAACAUACCUUCCAUCAUCAUCUCCCUUGUAUUUAGUGAAGAUGGAAAACACCGAAAAGAUAGGAACUCCAGCCAAUGAAUGACUGUCUUGGCCUAUACGAUCGCAUCUGAUCAGAACCCACGGCUGAUACCCAUAACGCUUUCUCGAAGCCACGAUCUUUCAAUCCUUAACACUGACUGGUGAGGUAGGACAAGUAUUAUCAUGCCUGAUAAGGAAACGGGGAUUCUGAGAGCUCCAGCGCCUUGCCCAGGGGCAGGAGGCAGACCUGGGCCAGUCUCCUGAAUUUGUGUGUCGGCCACCCUGCAAGCUGCUCCUGGGACCUCAUUCUUCUGGAGACAUGUCUCAGGUUAGAGAGAUGAUGGAUGGGGUGAGCCGUGGUGGGGUGGCAAGUUGGUGGUGGUGGGGCUCUUGAAGACCACUGAGCUUGAGAUGAGGUGUGACAGGUGAUCGAGACCACUGCAGGGGUCUCGACCGUGUGGUGGACGCAGUGGCACCUGAGGAAGAGGAAUGUCUUGGAUAACAGCGCUAACAGCAUCCACAAUAGCAUUGACAUCCUUCCCAGCUUCAUCUCUGGGGCUUCCAAAUGCUGCCUGUCACCGUGAGAAAGAUAAAAAGCCUUCUUGGUUGGAAUCUGGCCAGCUAAUCUCAGAGCUCCAGUUCAAGGAGCGGGCCAGAUGUGUCCCAGCAAGGAAACACCGCAUGUUCGGACAAAGGCUUGUUCAGGACAGAUAAUGGCAGAAAUGGUGAAUCGUAAUGUGUCUGGGGAUCACCUUAACAGAAAAACAGAAACCUCCAGAUUUCAGAGGCCGUGUCAGAUUCUAUCAAAAGGAUUUGGCUAAGCAGUCAGAGAGUAAGGCAGUGGAAGGCGGCAAACGGGAAUACAAAUGAGCUCAUUAUCAUGUCAAUUUCCCUGUCCUCAAUGACUGCUCCAUUUUCACAGGUGCCAUAGACCCACCAAAUGUUCACCUUUUCCUCCUCAGCAGUAGAAUGAAUUGCCAGGUAAAGUCACGAUCACACAAUCUCAUUUACCUUACUUUCCUGAAAUAUUACUUUAGAUGGGAAGAAGAGAAGGAUUUACCAUUUAUUGGGCACCUGAUAUUCUAGGAGUUAUUUUGGUUUCAAGCCUUACAAGAAAGUUAAGGAGCUAUUUGGGAAGAAGUAAUACAAUGGGAUGGACCAAAUGAAAGUUAUAAAAAGUGACAUAAGCAUGUAAAUGAAUAAAACCCUCUGAAUGCAUAAAAUUACA
rnacentral:lncRNA from 12 species